rnacentral:rRNA from 1 species
UACGUAGGGCGCAAGCGUUGUCCGGAAUUAUUGGGCGUAAAGAGCUCGUAGGCGGCUUGUCACGUCGGGUGUGAAAGCCCGGGGCUUAACCCCGGGUCUGCAUUCGAUACGGGCUAGCUAGAGUGUGGUAGGGGAGAUCGGAAUUCCUGGUGGAGCGGUGAAAUGCGCAGAUAUCAGGAGGAACACCCGUAGCGAAGGCGGCACUCUGGGCCGGAACUGACGCUGAGGAGCGAAAGCGUGGGGAGCGAACAGG